rnacentral:rRNA from 1 species
GAUGAACGCUGACAGAAUGCUUAACACAUGCAAGUCAACUUGAAUUUGGGUUUUUAACUUAGGUUUGGGUGGCGGACGGGUGAGUAACGCGUAAAGAACUUGCCUCACAGCUAGGGACAACAUUUGGAAACGAAUGCUAAUACCUAAUAUUAUGAUAAUAGGGCAUCCUAUAAUUAUGAAAGCUAUAAGCGCUGUGAGAGAGCUUUGCGUCCCAUUAGCUAGUUGGAGAGGUAACGGCUCACCAAGGCGAAGAUGGGUAGCCGGCCUGAGAGGGUGAUCGGCCACAAGGGGACUGAGACACGGCCCUUACUCCUACGGGAGGCAGCAGUGGGGAAUAUUGGACAAUGGACCGAGAGUCUGAUCCAGCAAUUCUGUGUGCACGAUGAAGUUUUUCGGAAUGUAAAGUGCUUUCAGUUGGGAAGAAACAAAUGACGGUACCAACAGAAGAAGUGACGGCUAAAUACGUG